UACGAAGGACCCAAGCGUUAUCCGGAUUUAUUGGGUUUAAAGGGUGCGUAGGCGGGCUGUUAAGUCAGUGGUGAAAGCUCCGAGCUUAACUCGGAAACUGCCAUUGAUACUGACGGUCUUGAGUACAUUUGAGGUGGGCGGAAUGGUGUCAUGUAGCGGUGAAAUGCUUAGAUAUGACACAGAACACCGAUUGCGAAGGCAGCUCACUAAACUGUAACUGACGCUGAGGCACGAAAGCGUGGGGAGCAAACAGG
rnacentral:rRNA from 1 species